ACGCUCGACACCUACUGGAGGCAGCAGUGAGGAAUAUUGGUCAAUGGGCGCUAGCCUGAACCAGCCAAGUAGCGUGAAGGAUGAAGGCUCUAUGGGUCGUAAACUUCUUUUAUAUAAGAAUAAAGUGCAGUAUGUAUACUGUUUUGUAUGUAUUAUAUGAAUAAGGAUCGGCUAACUCCGUGCCAUCAGCCGCGGUAAUCUGAGCGGGCUGGCAAGGC
rnacentral:rRNA from 1 species